rnacentral:rRNA from 1 species
AGUGAACGCUGGCGGCGUGCCUAAUACAUGUAAGUCGAACGAAGUGGCGCACGGGUGAGUAAUAUAUAGUUAAUCUUCCCUACACUCUGGAACAAUAGAUGGAAACGACCGUUAAUACCUCAUAGUGUAGGAUGGGACUAUAGCGUAUCAGUUAGUUGGUAAGGUAAUGGCUUACCCAGGCUAUGACGCGUAACUGGGCUGAAAGGAUGAUCAGGCACAUUCGAACUGAAACACCGUCCAAACGCCUACGGGAGGCAGCAGUAAGAGAUAGUGAGCAAUGGGGGAAACCCUGACGCAGCAGCGCCGCGUGGAGAAUGACACUUUUAGGAGCGUAGACUCCGUUUAACAGGAAAGCGGUACCUGAUGAAUAAGCGCCGGCUAACUCCGUGCCAGCAGCCGCGGUAAUAC